UACGGGGGGAGCAAGCGUUGUUCGGAUUUAUUGGGCGUAAAGGGCGCGUAGGCGGUCGUGACAAGUCACUUGUGAAAUCUCCGGGCUUAACUCGGAACGGUCAAGUGAUACUGUCGGACUAGAGUACAGAAGGGGCAACUGGAAUUCCUGGUGUAGCGGUGAAAUGCGUAGAGAUCAGGAGGAACACCCAUGGCGAAGGCAGCUCUCUGGCCUCACCCUGACGCUGAGGCGCGAAAGCGUGGGGAGCGAACGGG
rnacentral:rRNA from 1 species